rnacentral:rRNA from 1 species
CCGGCGACGUCGCGAGAAGUCCACUGAACCUUAUCAUUUAGAGGAACGAUAAGGCGUAACAAGGUUUCCGUAGGUGAACCUGCGGAAGGAUCAUUG